CGACAAGCCAUCCUCAAGUACCGGCAUGCUGGAGGCAUAGUAUUUCGUGUAAUUCGAACAAGAUGUGGAGACGCCAUUGAUUUCACCCGAGAGACCUGUUAAGUGAAUGGAAUGCUAAUAAAAGUGGAAUAUUGGUAUACAAAUUAUGAGUCACUGGCUUACAACUGAACACCUUGAGUUGGAAAGUGGAUGUAUAGACGGAUGCAACGGACAAAGUUGAGCUUCCGAACCAAUGGUUGUGUGACCCUCGAACUAUUAUCAUACGACGAUCUCCGCAAAAUAAACGAAGGAAAACAUAAACGAAGGAGAGUAUUCAAGAACUCAUUUUACACAGGGUUCUGUGGACUAUAAUAUCUAGAACAUCUGUAGCCAUCAAUAAAAAAAUUAAUUGGGUUGACGAUAAAGGUAAGAGGUCCUCCUUUUUAAGCGACAGAUCAGUUUGGGCUCGAAUCCAUGAAACUAGUAAAUCGGGAUACCGGAACUAGGGAACUAGGUAUCGUUUGAGCAAUAGAGGUCGAUCCUUCCUAUGGAAUACUUCCUACGGCAAUCGGCAGAUGUAUAAGGAACGAUCCGACCGAAUUUAUAUCCGACCACUGUUACCACCAUCUCAAAUACUACCACGAUAUGGUCUAAAGCUACAAAUUUUUUUUUUUUUUAUAAACUACAACUUACUAUCCAAAUCGCCGCAAUUCGAAUCGUAGUCCGUUGUCUCCGGCGAAUAACGGUAAGUUCCCGGAUUAUCCAAUUGAUUAUGAUUAACACCAUCCUGUUGAUCCAACUGCUCACCGCUACUGCGACUGGCCGAGUCCAAGAAGAAGUCGAAGUCACGCAUCAAUGGACUAGCGGUAAAGCGGCGCCGUUGCACAUUUGUCGAAUUGUUGUAAUUGUUGCUAUUGCUGUUGCUAUUAUUGCUACUGUUAUUGAGUUGUUGUGGUUGUUGCGGUUGUUGUUGUUGCUGACGUUGUGAUUGAGUUUUCCGCUGUCUGGCAUCUUGUGUUGUUUGCAGCGGUUGUGGUGUCUGCUGUUGCAGAUAUUGUUGAGCGUGUUGUUGUUGCUGUUGCUGUUGUUGCGAUAGUUGUUGACGAUACAGUGUGGGUGUUGGCGAUGUCUGCAAAUGUAUUUGUGUUUCACGCUGAUUGUUGCGUUGUUGUAUUGUUGUUUGCAAUUGUCGCAUUUGGUUGUUGUGUUGUUGCUGUAAUUGAUGAUGAUGCUGCUGUGGCUGUAUACCAUCCA